GUAAGGUUCUUGUGGUAACGUCCUUGCCUUUCAACAGUUAUGAGUACAGUACAAUUCUAAGUGUGAAGCCCAUUGCCGUACCUGAGAUCUCAAUUUACAGUUAAAGGCUUUAACUUAUCUACGCCCUUGGCAAGGCUACACUGCAUUAGAAGGGAGCUAUCUUGUUCUAGAAGCCAGUAUAGAGGAAUCAGAACAUAGUAAUGAGCUUGAGGAGCAUCAUGAAAUCCAAUCUGUAAAUUUUACAUGUUCUUUUCCUGAAGCAGCUGGUAGAGGCUUCAUAGAUGUAAAUAACUUUUUAAAUCUUCUUAUUUUGGGAUCAGCUAUUCAUCCUGUGUCUUAGAAAAUGGCAUUAGAGGAUCUUCUUCAGAGAGGUGAUUGGCAAGGUAAUUUCCAUGCUCUCACUCUGUGAUGGGUCUCCUUCACAAAGCUGUUAGGAGAAAUUCAAGGCCUUUGGUGGAGCUACUGUUGAGAUAUACUCCAGAUAGAGUAGCUGAUGAGCUGAGGUUGGAAUAUGAGGAGGCUCUAGGUGGUGGAUUUUUGUUUAGACCUAAUAAACUAGGUCUUUCAUGUUCAACACCUCUGCAUGUUGCAGCUAGAUUGAUAAUGUAUUACUACGUAUUUUUUAAACACUUAAUGUAGAUUGAUAAUAUUUUAGAUUGAUAUUGUAUUAUUAUUUGAAUUUAAUGUGGAUUGAUAA